rnacentral:lncRNA from 1 species
GGCACAGUUCAUAAACACGACGGCAUAAUAAAGAAUGUUAUCACCAAUGACUUACAGCCCAGCUGCGCCCGGCGAGAUAGGAAGUGGCAAGCAGAUACAAUUUCAUGCAGCGAGGGCAACGGAGCGAUUGGGUGCCCUUCAAAUGUGAUGCCACUUCUUUAAGUCAGUCCAAAUUCAGAAAUAAAGUUGGCCUCGCCCUUUUC